AGGAUCAUUAUUGAUUGCGAAUCGUUGCCUUCAGUGCUGGCCGGCCUCGGCAAGUGCACGUUGGUGACUUUCAUCCAAUACCCUGUGAACCUUUGGCCUUUGCUAGCUUCGGCCGGCAGAGGAUUUUACACAAACUCGAAUGUAAUGAAAUUUAUUGUCGUGCGCAAGCACUAAUGUACAACUUUCAACAACGGAUCUCUUGGCUCUCGCAUCGAUGAAGAACGCAGCGAAAUGCGAUAAGUAAUGUGAAUUGCAGAAUUCAGUGAAUCAUCGAAUCUUUGAACGCACCUUGCACCCUUUGGCAUUCCGAAGGGUAUGCUCGUUUGAGUGUCAUUGUACUCUCACUCUCUCAAUCUUUUGGAUUGGGAGUGGUGGACUUGGGUGUUGCUGCUUUACUGUGGCUCGCCUCAAAUGGAGUAGUGCAACUCUUGGUUGGACAUAGUACGGCGUGAUAAGUGUCUUCGCCGGCACCUCACUUAGAGGGUGGCUGAUCGGGAGCUCUGUGCUUCAAACCGUCUUCGGACAACAUCUGACAACUUGACCUCAAAUCGAGUAGGACUACCCGCUGAACUUAAGCAUAUCAAUAAGCGGAGGA
rnacentral:rRNA from 1 species